rnacentral:tRNA from 1 species
GGCUCCAUAGCUCAGGGGUGAGAGCGCUGGUCUUGUAAACCAGGGGUCUCGCUGGGGCCU